GACGAACGCUGGCGGCGUGCUUAACACAUGCAAGUCGAACGGAAAGGCCCUGCUUUUGUGGGGUGCUCGAGUGGCGAACGGGUGAGUAACACGUGAGUAACCUGCCCUUGACUUUGGGAUAACUUCAGGAAACUGGGGCUAAUACCGGAUAGGAGCUCCUGCUGCAUGGUGGGGGUUGGAAAGUUUCGGCGGUUGGGGAUGGACUCGCGGCUUAUCAGCUUGUUGGUGGGGUAGUGGCUUACCAAGGCUUUGACGGGUAGCCGGCCUGAGAGGGUGACCGGCGGCACUGGGACCGACGUAAGGCAGAGGCACCGACGGGACGCAGAAGGGCGGAAUAUUGCACGAUGGGCGCAGGGCUGGUGCAGAAACGCCGCGUGCCGGAAAACGGGGUUAGGAGUGAAGAACAAUUGCGCAUGUAACGAAGCGUGAGUGAAGGUGAUGGAUAAAGAAGCACCGGCCAACUAACUG
rnacentral:rRNA from 1 species